UCCACUGUUUAACAGCUUUUCUCGAGCCCACUACAUCCGCCGUCGCCACUACAACGCCAACACCCGGGGCCUCCUCUCCCAGCAACACCGACAUCGUGCCUAUCAUUGCCGGCGUUGUCGUAUGUGUUUUGGUGGCGCUGGCGAUAGUCGGCGUCGUCGUGUAUUUAUUUAAAUGCCGGAAACCAGCCAAAGUGCAACCCUGGGAGGAGAAAUCGGGACCGCCAGGGGAGACGGUCAACGGAUAUGACGCAAAGCAGGUCGACGACCAAAGCCUAAGCACUGCACCCAAUGGUACCGCAGGGAACCCAAAAGACGAACUUACGCCAGUGGGCGACCCCGAGAAUCCGGCGCUAAAAGAAGUACAGCGCCAAACUCUGUCCCCACUUCCAAACUCAAAGGCGUCCAACGGGACCAUUCAACCAGUCAUACCACCGAUCAAUAACACCGUGUGAAGACUGAGGAAUUUUAAUCCAGCUUUUGUCUCAGAACAUUUUAUAUUAAUGUGUGUAUUGUUGAUUUGUUUUAUUUUAAUGUAAAUUUUGUGUAAGAAAUACUAAAUAUA